GAUGAACGCUGGCGGCGUGCUUAACACAUGCAAGUCGAACGAACCUUCGGGUUAGUGGCGGACGGGUGAGUAACGCGUGAGAAUCUGCCCUCAGGAGGGGGAUAACGGCUGGAAACGGCCGCUAAUACCCCAUAUGCCGCGAGGUGAAAUGAAAUUCGCCUGAGGAUGAGCUCGCGUUUGAUUAGCUAGUUGGUGGGGUAAGAGCCUACCAAGGCAUCGAUCAGUAGCUGGUUUGAGAGGAUGAUCAGCCACACUGGGACUGAGACACGGCCCAGACUCCUACGGGAGGCAGCAGUGGGGAAUUUUCCGCAAUGGGCGAAAGCCUGACGGAGCAACGCCGCGUGAGGGAUGAAGGCCUUUGGGCUGUAAACCUCUUUUAUCAAGGAAGAAGAUCUGACGGUUGUUGGUGAAUAAGCCACGGCUAAUUCCGUGCCAGCAGCCCCGG
rnacentral:rRNA from 1 species